rnacentral:rRNA from 1 species
GUGGGGAAUAUUGCACAAUGGGGGAAACCCUGAUGCAGCAACGCCGCGUGAGUGAUGACGGCCUUCGGGUUGUAAAGCUCUGUCUUCAGGGACGAUAAUGACGGUACCUGAGGAGGAAGCCACGGCUAACUACGUGCCAGCAGCCGCGGUAAUACGUAGGUGGCAAGCGUUGUCCGGAUUUACUGGGCGUAAAGGGAGCGUAGGUGGAUAUUUAAGUGGGAUGUGAAAUCCCCGGGCUUAACCUAGGGGCUGCAUUCCAAACUGGGUGUCUAGAGUGUUGGAGAGGAAAGUGGAAUUCCUAGUGUAGCGGUGAAAUGCGUAGAGAUUAGGAAGAACACCAGUGGCGAAGGCGACUUUCUGGACAAUAACUGACGCUGAGGCUCGAAAGCGUGGGGAGCAAACAGGAUUAGAAACCCUGGUAGUCC